GACGAACGCUGGCGGCGUGCUUAACACAUGCAAGUCGAACGGAAAGGCCCUGCAUUUGUGGGGUGCUCGAGUGGCGAACGGGUGAGUAACACGUGUGUAACCUGCCCUUGACUUUGGGAUAACUUCAGGAAAAUGGGGCAACUACCGGAUAGGAGCUCCUGCUGCCUGGAGGGGGUGGGAAAGUUUCGGCGGUCGGGGAUGGAUUCGCGGCUUAUCAGCUCGUUGGUGGGGUGGUGGCUUACCAAGGCUCUGACGGGUAGCCGGCCUGUGAGGGUGACCGGCCACAUUGGGACUGAGAUACGGCCCAGACUCCUACGGGAGGCAGCAGUGGGGAAUAUUGCACAAUGGGCGGAAGCCUGAUGCAGCAACGCCGCGUGCGGGAUGACGGCCUUCGGGUUGUAAACCGCUUUCGCCUGUGACGAAGCGUGAGUGACGGUAAUGGGUAAAGAAGCACCGGCUAACUACGUG
rnacentral:rRNA from 1 species